rnacentral:rRNA from 1 species
GACAGAGGAUGCAAGCGUUAUCCGGAAUGAUUGGGCGUAAAGCGUCUGUAGGUGGCUUCUUAAGUCCGCUGUCAAAUCCCAGGGCUUAACCCUGGCCAGGCGGUGGAGACUACUAAGCUUGAGUACGGUAGGGGCAGAGGGAAUUUCCGGUGGAGCGGUGAAAUGCGUAGAGCUCGGAAAGAACACCAAGGGCGAAGGCACUCUGCUGGGCCGACACUGACACUGAGAGACGAGAGCUAGGGGAGCAAAUGGG